UAAACUGCUGCUCUUUUAAAUGGAUGUCUCUUUAAACCAAUAGACUAUCUAGAUUUACAUGGCAUAUUUGAUAGCAGUGAAGUGGUUAAAGCUUGAUAUCCACCAUGUUUCUCUUCCUUGAGUUGGUGAGCAGCACUGGUGAAAGCAGAGGACAAUGGUCGAUCUGCUCUGGCAGAAAACAGUGGUUUCUGGAGUGACGUGUUAUGGUAAAAGAAAUACCCCUAGGAACACGGUUAUGUUAUGCUUCUCCCCUGUGGCUUUUAUACUGAGAGCAAGAGGAAGGAAAUUUCUAGCUCUGGUGAGCUGCACAGCCAUUGACUGGUUUCAUGCAUGGCCACUGGGGGCUCUGCAGUCUGUCAACAGCAGUUUCACUGAGAAGGUGGAUUUAUCUGACCCACUUCAUUGCUUUUGCACAUACAAGUGUUAAUGAAGUAAGUGUCAAAUAUGAGCAGAAUGAAAAACAUCAUAACUAUGCAGCUCCUAAGAGCUUUCUGGAACUUAUCAAACUCUACCAGAAUCUACUUGGGAAGAAGAGAAAAGCUCCAGACAACAGCUUCACAGGAGACGCUUAGCACUGUGUAAGGAUGAGUCCCUUUGAAUCGCAUCUGCAGUUUUGUUCCUGA